rnacentral:lncRNA from 1 species
CCAGAUUUUCCUGUCAACCAGAAAGGGAGGCUGGGAUUGGUUUCCGGAUCCUGGGAAAAACUUACCUCAUUGGUCAACCUGGGCAACGCCCUGCAUGAUACAGCUGUGUAUACAUCCUUGCUGUGAGUGGGGAGCUGUGCUGCUGGUGCCACAGAGUGAGGAAUCCCUUCUGGAGGAGGCAGGAGGAGAGGGCCAACCUCCCCUCAGCACAGCCUGCAGAGUCAGGUUUGCCUGGACUUGGGAAACUUCACUCUGCACCAUGCCUUUAGGUACAGCUGGCCAGUUGGCCUUUUCCCUGGCCUCCAAGGUAGCAUCAGCAGUGGCCAAAGUCGGUGGAGAGGCCACUGGUUCUUCCCUGUAUGACCUCUCAGCACAAGGGCUCACUCUGGUAUCCCAGACUGCCAGUCCUGCUGUGACUGCCCUUGGGCAAUGGCUGGAGACACUGAAUGUUGGUGGCAUCCUGCAGGGGUCCUCUGAUGCUACUUCUAUGGCUGCUUCCUCAGUUGGAGGUAAGUGGACCUGAGUGACAGACACCCCACCUCAGGCUCAUUGAGAAGGGACAUCACAGUGACAGUCUCACUGUGUGUUUGAACCAGUCCUGGCUUGGCAAGGAGAGACAGGGCAAAAGGUAACUUCUAAUUUCCCCACAAAAUCCCCAGUCAACCAGCCGAGCAGCCCACAGGCCAAUGAACAAAGAACAAGCAAAACCUGGAAUAGGUGUUGGAUCUUC